UGGGGGAUAUUGCACAAUGGGGGGAAACCCUGAUGCAGCGACGCCGCGUGAGUGAAGAAGUAUUUCGGUAUGUAAAGCUCUAUCAGCAGGGAAGAAGAAAGACGGUACCUGACUAAGAAGCCCCGGCUAACUACGUGCC
rnacentral:rRNA from 1 species